rnacentral:rRNA from 1 species
UACGUAGGUGACCAGCGUUGUCCGGAUUUACUGGGCGUAAAGAGCGCGCAGGCGGUCGUUCAAGUCGAGUGUGAAAGCCCCCGGCUCAACUGGGGAGGGUCACUCGAUACUGAUCGACUUGAAGGCAGGAGAGGGAAGCGGAAUUCCCGGUGUAGUGGUGAAAUUCGUAGAUAUUAGGAAGAACACCGGUGGCGAAGGCGGCCCACUGGAUCGGUACUGACGCUGAGGUGCGAAAGCGUGGGGAGCAAACAGG